AAUGCAGCGGAUCCGCAUGGAUAUGUGUAAAGGUUACCGCCUUGGGAUAGGCUUGCGUCUGAUUAGCUAGUUGGUGUGGUAACGGCACACCAAGGCUACGAUCAGUAACUGGGUCUGAGAGGAUGAUCAGUCACACUGGAACUGAGACACGGUCCAGACUCCUACGGGAGGCAGCAGUGAGGAAUAUUGGGCAAUGCUCGAAAGAGUGACCCAGCAACGCCGCGUGGAGGAUGAAGGUAUUCUAUAUCGUAAACUCCUGUGAGAGCAGACGAAAGACAGAUUAUUAAUCUGGAUGGCUGUAUGCUCAGAGGAAGCCCCGGCUAACUACGUG
rnacentral:rRNA from 1 species